CCGCCGCCGCCUUUUCCACUCCUCCGGUCGCCGCUCGCCGCCGCUGGAGCCGCCGCCGAGCCAAUUUGCCACCGCCAUUAGCUUCGCCGCCGCCAAAGCUACCCCGGCCGCCGCAUCCCCAUCCAAUCCCGCCAUCGGGGCCCGCUUCUCUCCGCGCGCCGGGUGUCCCGGAGCUCGGCCGCCGUUCGCCGUCGCCCUUCGGUCGCUCACCGUCGUCGUUUGCCGUCGUUUCCUCCCGCGCCGGCCGAACCCCGAUUUCGCCCGUUUCGUCGAUUCGUGGUUUCGCGAAGACGUUGCUGUGGUUCCAUCAG